CGGGGCGUAGGCGGGAGGAAAGUCCGGACACCGCAGGGCAGGAUGCCUCGUGAAAACGGGGGACGUCGUGUUUAAGCACGACGGACGGCCAGUGCCACAGAAAACAGACCGCCCGUCUUCGCCCUCCGGGCUACGACGCGGCAGGCCCGUCUUUGAACGGGUCUGCAGGUCUGCUCGAAGGGCGGAGACGGGUAAGGGUGAAAAGGUGGUGUAAGGGACCACCGGGUCGAGCGUAAGCGAGAUCGCACGGUAAACCCCAUCCGGUGCAAGAUCAAAUAGGGAACGAGAGACGGCCCGUCUCGCUUUCCGGACGUUCGCGUCCGGGAUGACAGUUUCGGGUUGAUCGCGUAGAUAAAUGACCGAGUCCCGGGCGCGUAAGCGUCCUGGGAUCAACAGAAUCCGGCUUAUGAACCCCGAUCG
rnacentral:RNase_P_RNA from 1 species